AGCGCUCCAGGCUCCUACGGGCUGUGCGGUGCCAGGGCUCGACUGCUGAGCGUCGUGGGCUCCGAGAGGGACGCGGGCGGAGGGCAAAGAGCGUCAGAUCAGGAUUGCUGAAGGAGAGCUGAGAAUGAAACCACCAUUUAUUCAGCACUCAGAAUGCUCCAGGCAGUGUAAUCUCAUUCCAUCUUCAUUCAUGACUCCAGACAGUUCUGCAUUUUCCAAGUU
rnacentral:lncRNA from 1 species